rnacentral:misc_RNA from 1 species
AACGCACCUUGCGCCCUUUGGUAUUCCGAAGGGCAUGCCUGUUUGAGUGUCAUUAAAUUAUCAACUCUGACAACUUUGUUCUCAGAGCUUGGACUUGGAGUGUGCCGGGCCCUCUAGCUCAGCUCCUCUUGAAAUGCAUAUGCGGAACCUUUGAUUGUGGACCAGCUCCAGCGUGAUAAUUAUCUACGUUGCCGCCGCGAAGCAGUUGGAUCUGCCUAAAACCGUUGCACUGUGCAACAGGGGCUUCACAACCCCUAUCUUUGACAAUUUGACCUCAAAUCAGGUAGGAUUACCCGCUGAACUUAA